rnacentral:rRNA from 1 species
UGGGGAAUAUUGCACAAUGGACGGAAGUUUGAUGCAGCGACGCCGCGUGGAGGGUGUAGGCCUUCGGGUUGUGAACUCCUUUUUCUCGCGAAAAAGGCACAGUUUUGGCUGUGUUGAUGGUAGUGGGGGAAGAAGCGCCGGCUAACUACGUGCCAGCAGCCGCGGUAAUACGUAGGGCGCGAGCGUUGUCCGGAUUUAUUGGGCGUAAAGAGCUCGUAGGUGGUUCGUCGCGUCUGUCGUGAAAGCCAGCAGCUUAACUGUUGGUCUGCGGUGGGUACGGGCGGGCUUGAGUGCGGUAGGGGUGACUGGAAUUCCUGGUGUAGCGGUGGAAUGAACAGAUAUCAGGAGGAACACCGAUGGCGAAGGCAGGUCACUGGGCCGUUACUGACACUGAGGAGCGAAAGCGUGGGGAGCGAACAGG